CAGUUUCAGUUUCAUCCCUCUUACAAAACAGCUUAAGCUUCGGCCGUUCAUCCACCGGAUCACUUUAAAACCACCACCCCCAUUGUUGUCAGUCAGCUUUGCUGUUAGGCUCGAUGUUUUCGUUCACCAGUCACCGCUUUCAAGCCAUUGCUGUUGUUAUUUAGAUUGAACUGAAGGAGCCCCAAUAGCUACUUACCCCUCUCCCUCGCUUUUUUCUGUCGAAAUCGUUCUCUUUCAGAGCUUCACGAUCUUCAUCCACCCAAAAACUUGUCCGAUUGAAUGAAGUAAAUUUUAUCAGUGAUUCGAUUAUUUCCC
rnacentral:misc_RNA from 1 species